rnacentral:rRNA from 1 species
CCCUUAGAUGUCCUGGGCCGCACGCGCGCUACACUGAACGGAUCAGCGCGUUUUCCCUUCCCGAGAGGGACGGGUAACCUGCUGAACCCCGUUCGUGGUAGGGAUCGGGGCUUGCAAUUAUUCCCCGUGAACCAGGAAUGUCCAGUAAGUGCAAGUCAUAAGCUUGCGUUGAUUACGUCCCUGCCCUUUGUACACACCGCCCGUCGCUACUACCGAUUGAACGUUUUAGUGAGGUACUCGGACUGAGCCUCAGAAGAUUCACGUCUUUUGUGCUGCUCGGGAAGAUUCCCAAACUUGAGCGUUUAGAGGAAGUAAAAGUCGUAACA